AGAACACAUAUAUCCAAAUCAGCAUCAGAUAACGGAACAUUAGAUCAUGCCGCUGCCAGCGGCAAUACUGCUCUCUGGCUGCCCGCCAAAGUCCCUCCAGAAAACAAUUUAGAUUUAGUCCACAUUGAGAACAAUCAAAACGAAGAUUGUCCAUGACAACGGGGAAGUGGCCAGGCCCAGAAUGCCAAUCAAAAGGAGUCAAAAGCCUGGGAGUCCAAAGCCUGGGAGUCCAAAGCCUGGGAGUCCAAAGCCUGGGAGACAAAAUCCUGGGAGUCAAAAGCCUUGGAGUCCAAAGCCUGAGAGUUAAAAGCCUGGGAAUCAGAAGACUUGUAAGAAAGGGAGUACAAAAAAUGGAAAAGAAUGGGCCAAGAAAAAUCAGGACACCACACGAAGGCCCAUCCCAGUGAUGGCAGGAACCUAUCUGGAUGUGGUCCGGAGGUCAGCUGCUGAUUGUGAGUCUGUACUACAAUCAGCCCAGGAGAAUGCUACCCUAGCCCCGGGUGCCAUGGAGCUGAGGACCGGGCCGGAGUCCCUGGAGCUCAUCCUAGGAACCAUUGCUGGAGUAACGCAGCUGAGAACGUUCAGGCCUGUGGGACAUCCUACCACAUCUGCCGCAGGCCCCUCACAGACUACCCCGUUUAUGCCCAUGACUACACCCUGCCCCGGGCCAAGGACAAACACCAGGAUCUGUACCAAGAUGAGAGCCUGAAACGAGACCCCUCGCCCCAGGGUGUCUCUCUCUCUGUUACUGAUGUGGACCUCUGCAACCCCAAUGUGAGUUAAUGGCAAAAAACGACAACAUAGCCAUCUGUUAAAGUAGAUUAUAGUAGAUUAUAUAGUAUAUUUGUAAUAGACUGGGCAUUUUGUGGACAUUUUUGUUCCAAUCUAUACCCUCCUUCAAAUGCCUUGGAACGAACCAAUCAUUACAUUCCAUUGAAAUAGAUGAUUUUGGUUUAUUUUAACCCAUAGUAAGUGACUGCUAUAAAAACUAUGGUUUGGUAAACAAACACUAGGAAAGAGGAUGGGCUCACAUGCCCUCAUUGAGAUA